GACGUAGGGCGCGAGCGUUGUCCGGAUUUAUUGGGCGUAAAGAGCUCGUAGGCGGCUUGUUGCGUCGACUGUGAAAACCCGCGGCUUAACUGCGGGCUUGCAGUUGAUACGGGCAGGCUAGAGUUCGGUAGGGGAGACUGGAAUUCCUGGUGUAGCGGUGAAAUGCGCAGAUAUCAGGAGGAACACCGGUGGCGAAGGCGGAUCUCUGGGCCUUACCUGACGCUGAGGCGCGAAAGCUAGGGGAGCGAACAGG
rnacentral:rRNA from 1 species